CACAGGCCCAAUCUCGCAGGAGACCAGGUCCAAAAAACCACCUAAUUAUUAGGGUUUCGAACUGUAUGUCAUUCGGCUUCAAAAUAAUCAGAAUCAACAUUUCUCUCUCUGUACUGUGGUUAGAUAAUACAAAAUGUCUCGAGUAUAUGUGGGGAAUUUGGAUCCGCGUGUGUCAGAAAGAGAUUUGGAGGAUGAAUUCCGCACUUACGGAGUUCUUCGCAGCGUUUGGGUUGCUCGAAGGCCACCAGGUUAUGCAUUUAUUGAGUUUGACGAUAAACGGGAUGCUCUGGAUGCAAUUCGUGCUCUGGAUGGAAAGAAUGGCUGGCGAGUGGAGCUUUCCCAUAAUUCAAAGGGAGGUGGAGGAGGGCGUGGUGGUCGUGGUCGUGGAGCUGAUGACUCAAAAUGUUAUGAAUGUGGUGAACCUGGUCAUUUUGCUCGGGAGUGUCGCUCGCGCAUUGGUUCGCGGGGAUUAGGAGGUGGCCGACGUCGCAGCCCUAGUCCUCGACGCCGCAGGAGUCCCAGUUAUGGGAGGAGGAGUUAUAGUCCUGUUGGGAGAAGAUCUCCACGGCGUCGCAGUAUAUCACCUCGCCGUGGCUACAGCAAAUCAUCCCCCUAUCAUGUUGGUCGCCGUGAUUCACCGUAUGCUAAUGGCGUAUCACCUCGCCCUGGCUACAGUAGGUCACCAGUACACCGUCGUGGUCAUCGUGACUCACCUUUUGCAAAUGGAGAUUAAAGCUGAGGCUGGAUUGGAAGGAAAAUUUCAGUGAUGAGAAUUUGCUAUGAUGUAAUACAGGACAAUAUGAUGUGUUUGGAACCUGAUCUUAGAUGUGGCAUAUUUGCAAGUAGAUGCAAAAAUGGUGACUGCCCCUGUUAGUUUUACACUAUUCAGUUCAAAUCUGGAGCUAAAACAGCAUCAUUAAGCUACUUACUGCUUCAUAGUCUACUCAGCCCAGCAACAUCCGUGAUUCUUUAUGUGAUCGUAUCUUCUACUUGUAGAACUCGCGCUUCUUAGCAUAAUCGAAACUGCAAUCGCUUCAUUUCUCACCUCGUAAGCACGAUGGUUAGCUACAAAGCUUCUCUAGGUAAGGCCUCAACGUCUCUCUCCACUGGUAGAAUACUGAAGCAGUUUAUGAUCUUCAGACAUCACCCUUUUUCAAGCUACAUGGACGAAUUGUUACUCUGGAAACUACAUCAGGUUGCAUCAAUCUUGAAAUCUAUUCUCCUCAGGCAUCUAGUUGACCUUUCAGUAGUAGGAAUCUUGAAGUACAAGUGGAUCUUGUACGAUACCCAGAACACCGAUGAUACCUAACCCUUGAGAACUUAGUCUGUACAUCAGAUGCCCUCGACUAGGAGACAAGUGCUUCGUUAAUACUAGAGUGGUUUGUACUGAGCAAACUACAUGGCCCAUCUCUUGCAUGUCCCGUGUUGUUAAAUGUUGUUCUGCGAAGCAAAUUCUGUUUCUUAUAUGUAUUUUAUGUUUGGAUAAAACCAAAAUUUCUUCCCAAA